rnacentral:rRNA from 1 species
CGGAUAAUAUUUUGAACCGCAUGGUUCAAAAGUGAAAGACGGUCUUGCUGUCACUUAUAGAUGGAUCCGCGCUGCAUUAGCUAGUUGGUAAGGUAACGGCUUACCAAGGCAACGAUGCAUAGCCGACCUGAGAGGGUGAUCGGCCACACUGGAACUGAGACACGGUCCAGACUCCUACGGGAGGCAGCAGUAGGGAAUCUUCCGCAAUGGGCGAAAGCCUGACGGAGCAACGCCGCGUGAGUGAUGAAGGUCUUCGGAUCGUAAAACUCUGUUAUUAGGGAAGAACAUAUGUGUAAGUAACUGUGCACAUCUUGACGGUACCUAAUCAGAAAGCCACGGCUAACUACGUGCCAGCAGCCGCGGUAAUACGUAGGUGGCAAGCGUUAUCCGGAAUUAUUGGGCGUAAAGCGCGCGUAGGCGGUUUUUUAAGUCUGAUGUGAAAGCCCACGGCUCAACCGUGGAGGGUCAUUGGAAACUGGAAAACUUGAGUGCAGAAGAGGAAAGUGGAAUUCCAUGUGUAGCGGUGAAAUGCGCAGAGAUAUGGAGGAACACCAGUGGCGAAGGCGACUUUCUGGUCUGUAACUGACGCUGAUGUGCGAAAGCGUGGGGAUCAAACAGGAUUAGAUACCCUGGUAGUCCACGCCGUAAACGAUGAGUGCUAAGUGUUAGGGGGUUUCCGCCCCUUAGUGCUGCAGCUAACGCAUUAAGCACUCCGCCUGGGGAGUACGACCGCAAGGUUGAAACUCAAAGGAAUUGACGGGGACCCGCACAAGCGGUGGAGCAUGUGGUUUAAUUCGAAGCAACGCGAAGAACCUUACCAAAUCUUGACAUCCUUUGACAACUCUAGAGAUAGAGCCUUCCCCUUCGGGGGACAAAGUGACAGGUGGUGCAUGGUUGUCGUCAGCUCGUGUCGUGAGAUGUUGGGUUAAGUCCCGCAACGAGCGCAACCCUUAAGCUUAGUUGCCAUCAUUAAGUUGGGCACUCUAAGUUGACUGCCGGUGACAAACCGGAGGAAGGUGGGGAUGACGUCAAAUCAUCAUGCCCCUUAUGAUUUGGGCUACACACGUGCUACAAUGGACAAUACAAAGGGCAGCGAAACCGCGAGGUCAAGCAAAUCCCAUAAAGUUGUUCUCAGUUCGGAUUGUAGUCUGCAACUCGACUACAUGAAGCUGGAAUCGCUAGUAAUCGUAGAUCAGCAUGCUACGGUGAAUACGUUCCCGGGUCUUGUACACACCGCCCGUCACACCACGAGAGUUUGUAACACCCGAAGCCGGUGGAGUAACCUUUUAGGAGCUAGCCGUCGAAGGUGGGACAAAUGAUUGGGGUGAAGUCGUAACAAGGUAGCCGUAUCGGAAGGUGCGGCUGGAUCACCUCCUUU